rnacentral:lncRNA from 1 species
GUGUAACCUGGAUGGGUAGGCUUGGAAUUGCAAGGGGAACAAUUUGUUUUGAAGAGUCGUCGCCAAAAAAGGCCGGAAGGUGGCCCACGCGACGUCUGAACUUAGCCGGAAAAUUUUCUUCAAGUGGCGAGUGGUGGAAUUGCAAGGGAACAAUUUUUUCAGAAGAGUCAUCCCCAAAAAUGGACGGAAGGUGGCCCACGUGACGUUGGAACUUCGCCGAAAAAUUUUCUUCAAGUGGCGAGCGGCGGCGCGUGGAGAGUAUUCUGACUGAGAUCUUUUUAUGGGUUGGUGGCCGGAGCCCGAUCUACUUUA